CCUGGGCGGGUGUCGUCACGCGAGGCGGCCGGGCCUCACGUAGCGUCGCAGGUGCCGGCUGCCGCAGGGCCGCCGUGCCAGGAGUGUGAUGUCACGAGCAGCACCUGCUGAUGUCACGGCGUACAGACCCUGCAGGGCAGGGUUGGCAGGCUGCUGGUAGCCAGCCCGCGGGCCGGCCGGCCUGCCCCGUGGCGUGGCCGCGCCGGUGCCCUGGGCUUUUUGGUGGCAGGAUGGCACCAGGUGUACCAAACUGGGGAAAUUAUGGAGGGAUUUGAUGCUUAAAUCAUUGAAGGUGUUCCUGGUAGAGAGAAAUGACUUGUAGAUGAACAGAAUAACAACAAAGUAAGUCUGAGUUGAAGAGCUGAAAAAUUCUUUGUGAAAAUAUGUUAUAAGUAUGGUAGUUGUUGCAGGAAAUAGGCAGCUGCCACAUAGUCCAUGUUAGGAAUUAUGUGGAUUAUGUGGAUGCCCCCUCAGCAGGGCUCAGCCCUGGGUUUCUGCUUGAAGAAGACGAGUUGCUAGUCUGCUGAAUAAAUAAGUGGUUUAUUUAGCUGACAUGCAAAGCAGCUUGAGCUGGGUGCCUCUGAAGAUGGAUCCCUACUGCAGAUUGUGCACCCCUAUUACACCCUUACAGAUUUCCCAGAAUGUACCACUCAUCACCCAAUCCCCAAAUCUAAUCACUUAAUUCUGGUGGGUGGCCUCUUGAUUUCUUAUUGGUUUUCUUGAUCACUGGGCUGGCCUUGUUCUAAAAUUACCUUAUUCCCUUGGAAUUGUUCGUUGGUCCUUUUCUUCUUCAUUCUGCUUGCAUCUGCUGGUUUCAGUUUUGUAUUUGCAACAUUAGCUUUAUCAAAAAGUUUACUCUUGGUCAGCUCUUGCAGCCUAAGGCUUCCACUACUUUAGUUUCUAAUGCUAAGCAAGGCUAUUAAUCCUGACAAUUCUCAACAGCAGUGGUAACUUACCUGCUUCUGCUGUCUGCGUGUUGAGGCUUCUCAACUCUCAAAGCCAUAGAAAUCUUCCAGCAAAAGGGGGGAAAAAACCAAAGAAACCAAACCUAGAAGCUUGAGGUUUUUUCCUCUGUGUAUAAGUACUUAAAAUUUGUUUGUAAUGAGAAAUAACAUAUUUCAGUGGCUACUGCUAAAUUGUGCUGGUACAGUGUUUCCAAAUUGUUGUUUAAUUACCAUCUCCAGUGCUGUGUUAUUGGAACCCUCAGUACUCCCUGAAACAGCCUAUUUAUAUAAAUGGUUAGCUUAAUAAUUGGCAAAUAACUAGUUUCUUGAUGAACCCUUCCCAGUUUGUUUUAAAUACUACUGCCUGUGGUACUGUUUUCUGGCAGGGAGAUGAAAGUCAAAUAGUUAUUAUCUACUGAUUUUUUUUGUCUGUCUUUCUGUGGUUUGCUUACAUUGAGCCUUAAAUGUGAAACUCAACAAGGAGAAUAGAAGAAAUCAAAGUGUGACUUCAACAUUACCUGACAACUGUGGCAUCUGUUUAUUUUUAUAGCCAGACCUUCUUAUCUUCUUAUUUCAAUUGAAUGUUCUACUUGGGACUGGUGGAUCCAGGUGCCAGACCUCAAUCUAGUGAGCAUUAAUCUGUGCUAGCAGUGUUAUAACAUUAACUUUUUACUCUUGCAGUAUUUUUAACUACCUUUCAUUUGUUUGCUUAGAAAGCUUUUUUACUCUGAUCUUCACUGAAGUUUUCUUGCAAGUGAGCUAAAACCAGAUCCUUUGGUAUCUGUCUUGGCUUUAGCAGAACCUUGUCUGACUGACUUAGAGUAAAAUCAGUCUGCAUAUAAUUGGGGAUUUGUGUGUAUGUUCAUAUGGGCACAUGCAGCCUGGAAGGGGGAAGCUCUUUAGCAUAAUUAAGCAUUAAGUCUGGAUUUGUACAGUUCUUAGUGCUGUUGACAGUAAUGGUUAUGUUUAUUCUGAAUACUAGUAAGAAUUUAAUAACUUCAGUGCAAGUGGUGUUUCUUUGUCCGUUAUUUUAAUGAAUCUGUCUUGCUGCAUUUGUGGUAGUGCUAUCAGGGUGUUCAAGGCUUUGAAGUCAUGCAGUGUAGAUAUGGUAGGGGAAGUGUGUAUUUCACAGAUGAAAGGGAAGAGGUGUGACUAAGGUGGGGAGGUGUUAAGAGAUAAGCACCUGAGAGAAGAUGCAGGAUAAACCCAGAGCUUGUCUUAAGGCAAUGAUAAAAUUUUGUUGUGCAGCAAUAACGGUCUAGACCAAGUAACAAAUAAUGCAGGCUUACUCUUUUUAUUUUUUAUUGCCUUCACUUAACUAGCAAGCGAUGAUUGUGUCUGAUCAAACGUAGGGUGAUACAGUCCAUGUGUACCUAGAUAGCUUUACUAGUGAAAUCUCCAAGGCUGGAGAGUUGGGUUUUGUGUUCUGGUCCUUAAAAUACUGAAUAAAACAAGACUGGAAUAAUUGGAUGACUGAUAUGUCCAGGUAUCAGCAGAGAUUAUUUUUUUUAGCUUAACUUCUACAGUUUGGGGUACUGAAAUGCAAACGAAUUCAGUGAAAACUUGUUCUAAUAGCAUCUUGAUCCAGACUGGAGACUUGAUUAGGAGAGGAGGUAGUCCAGUGCUAACAGCUGUGAGCGAGAGGAAAAGGAAGCACAGAAAUCUGCUGUCAUUUCUUGAAAAGAAGGUGAAAUAAGAUAAUUUUUUAUAUUCCCCCCCCCCCAUUUGAUAAAAAUCUCUUUGGUUAGGCUACAAAAUGGCAUAUGGAAUUAUACUCUAGUUAAUC